rnacentral:sRNA from 2 species
GCAGCGGCAAAAUCCGCUGCCGGGCGUGGAAACCCGGAUUUCAUAAGAGCGCACAACCGCGCUAAAGCGGUUUUUUA